ACCUGCAAAUCCUGCGGACAGCAUCCACUUGGGCUUGGUUGACUUGCCUCCUCGAGUACACCAUCAAUAGCUAGGCUGAGUUGAAGGCUCAGUU
rnacentral:snoRNA from 1 species